rnacentral:rRNA from 1 species
GUCGAGCGAAUGACGAGGAGCUUGCUCCUCUGAUUUAGCGGCGGACGGGUGAGUAACACGUGGGUAAUCUGCCUGUAAGACGGGGAUAACUCCGGGAAACCGGGGCUAAUACCGGAUAACAAAAGGAAAUGCAUGUUUCCUUUUUGAAAGUCGGCCUCUGGCUGACACUUACAGAUGAGCCCGCGGCGCAUUAGCUAGUUGGUGAGGUAACGGCUCACCAAGGCGACGAUGCGUAGCCGACCUGAGAGGGUGAUCGGCCACACUGGGACUGAGACACGGCCCAGACUCCUACGGGAGGCAGCAGUAGGGAAUCUUCGGCAAUGGGCGAAAGCCUGACCGAGCAACGCCGCGGGAGCGAUGAAGGCCUUCGGGUCGUAAAGCUCUGUUGUUAGAGAAGAACAAGUACGAGAGUAACUGCUCGUACCUUGACGGUACCUAACCAGAAAGCCACGGCUAACUACGUGCCAGCAGCCGCGGUAAUACGUAGGUGGCAAGCGUUAUCCGGAAUUAUUGGGCGUAAAGCGCGCGCAGGCGGUCUCUUAAGUCUGAUGUGAAAGCCCACGGCUCAACCGUGGAGGGUCAUUGGAAACUGGGAGACUUGAGUGCAGGAGAGAAAAGUGGAAUUCCACGUGUAGCGGUGAAAUGCGUAGAGAUGUGGAGGAACACCAGUGGCGAAGGCGGCUUUUUGGCCUGUAACUGACGCUGAGGCGCGAAAGCGUGGGGAGCAAACAGGAUUAGAUACCCUGGUAGUCCACGCCGUAAACGAUGAGUGCUAGGUGUUGGGGGGGUUCCACCCUCAGUGCUGAAGUUAACACAUUAAGCACUCCGCCGGGGGAGUACGACCGCAAGGUUGAAACUCAAAGGAAUUGACGGGGGCCCGCACAAGCAGUGGAGCAGGUGGUUUAAUUCGAAGCAACGCGAAGAACCUUACCAGGUCUUGACAUCCUCUGACCACUCUNGAGAUAGAGCUUUCCCCUUCG